AUUGAACGCUGGCGGCAGGCUUAACACAUGCAAGUCGAGCGGGGUGAUGGUGCUUGCACUAUCACUUAGCGGCGGACGGGUGAGUAAUGCUUAGGAAUCUGCCUAUUAGUGGGGGACAACAUCUCGAAAGGGAUGCUAAUACCGCAUACGUCCUACGGGAGAAAGCAGGGGAUCACUUGUGACCUUGCGCUAAUAGAUGAGCCUAAGUCGGAUUAGCUAGGUGGUGGGGGAAAGGCCUACCAAGGCGACGAUCUGUAGCGGGUCUGAGAGGAUGAUCCGCCACCCUGGGACUGAGACACGGCCCAGGCUCCUACGGGAGGCAGCAGUGGGGAAUAUUGGACAAUGGGGGGAACCCUGGUCCAGCCAUGCCGCGUGUGUGAAGAAGGCCUUAUGGUUGUAAAGCACUUUAAGCGAGGAGGAGGCUCUUUUGGUUAAUACCCAAGAUGAGUGGACGUUACUCGCAGAAUAAGCACCGGCUAACUCUGUGCCAGCAGCCGCCGCCG
rnacentral:rRNA from 1 species